rnacentral:rRNA from 1 species
UACGUAGGGGGCUAGCGUUGUCCGGAAUCAUUGGGCGUAAAGCGCGUGUAGGCGGUUCGGUAAGUCCGCUGUGAAAGUCGGGGGCUCAACCCUCGGAUGCCGGUGGAUACUGUCGGGCUUGAGUACGGAAGAGGCGAGUGGAAUUCCUGGUGUAGCGGUGAAAUGCGCAGAUAUCAGGAGGAACACCAAUUGCGAAGGCAGCUCGCUGGGACGGUACUGACGCUGAGACGCGAAAGCGUGGGGAGCGAACAGG